rnacentral:rRNA from 1 species
CAGUAGCCGCGGUAAUACGGAGGGUGCAAGCGUUAAUCGGAAUUACUGGGCGUAAAGCGCACGCAGGCGGUCUGACAAGUCAGAUGUGAAAUCCCCGGGCUUAACCUGGGAACUGCAUUUGAAACUGUCAGGCUGGAGUCUUGUAGAGGGGGGUAGAAUUCCAGGUGUAGCGGUGAAAUGCGUAGAGAUCUGGAGGAAUACCGGUGGCGAAGGCGGCCCCCUGGACAAAGACUGACGCUCAGGUGCGAAAGCGUGGGGAGCAAACAGGAUUAGAUACCCCAGUAGUCCCUGUCUCUUAUAC